CCCCCCCUCCCCUCCACCGCAGCAACAGGAGUACAAAACGGAAAACUCUUUAUCUGAAACUCUUAUCGUGGAAUAUGUUAAGAAAGCCUAAUCUAUCCAUCUGUCCCACCUAACAAGCUGAGAGAGAGGAGAGAGAAAGAGGGAGAGAAAGAACGAGAGAGAGACGUGGGGCACUGCAUGCAAUAACAAGGGCUUCUGCUGGGAAGCGGUGAACAGGAGGCUGGCUGGAGGAGCGGACUUACCCCCGUCCAAAAAACUUCGGCCCAGUGCAGGCAGUGACGAAGAGCCCAGAUGCACCCGAGCCCAGGCAGACGCAUCGUUCCCCUCCUGCGAACACACCAAAAG